AGUGGGGAAUUUUGGACAAUGGGCGAAAGCCUGAUCCAGCCAUGCCGCGUGAGUGAAGAGGGCCUUCGGGUUGUAAAGCUCUUUUAGUCGGAAAGAAAGAGUUGCAAUGAAUAAUCGUGAUUUAUGACGGUACCGACAGAAAAAGCACCGGCUAACUACGUGCCAGCAGCCGCGGUAAUACGUAGGGUGCGAGCGUUAAUCGGAAUUACUGGGCGUAAAGGGUGCGCAGGCGGUCUUGCAAGUCAGAUGUGAAAGCCCCGGGCUUAACCUGGGAAUUGCGUUUGAAACUACAAGGCUAGAGUGCAGCAGAGGGGAGUGGAAUUCCAUGUGUAGCAGUGAAAUGCGUAGAGAUGUGGAAGAACACCGAUGGCGAAGGCAGCUCCCUGGGUUGACACUGACGCUCAUGCACGAAAGCGUGGGGAGCAAACAGGAUUAGAUACCCUGGUAGUCCACGCCCUAAACGAUGUCAACUAGUUGUCGGAUCUAAUUAAGGAUUUGGUAACGUAGCUAACGCGUGAAGUUGACCGCCUGGGGAGUACGGUCGCAAGAUUAAAACUCAAAGGAAUUGACGG
rnacentral:rRNA from 1 species